UAGAAGUGUUAUUUUUACUCUGCAAAGAAGUCAGUUUUAAGUUUAGUAAAGAUUAUCUUUGAGACAUCACAACAAACUCAACACAUUUGUAUAAGUGUUCCUUUUUCUGUUGACGAACUGGGUGCAUUUAAUUUUUGGAUUUCCUCAUCAUGAUGAAGCUGAUCCUGUCUCUCACUCUCAUCUGGACUCUCUCCAGCACAGCUGAAGCCCUUCGGUGUUGGGAUGAUUUAGUAGAUGAAACACCGGAGUUAAGUCCAUGUGCCUCUAGUCAGCCUUGUCUAACUGUUGCCUCACAAGUAAUUGAGAAUGGGACUCUCCGUCAGGAAACCAUCAGGACCUGCAUGCCACUCCCUCC